GGGAACUGGAGGAAUUCAAUCUUUGGCUUAGAGAAAUCUAAUUCUCUCAAGGCUUCCCUCAAUAUCUGACAUUGCCAAAUGUCAUAACUCUGUUCCUUAGAUCUCCACACAGUUCGACACUGCUCUUCCAGCUGCAUUCCCCCGGUUGGCUAAGACCUUGCACUCAAAGCACAGCUUGAGUACCAGUACCCUGCAGAGACUCUAGGCCAGCACUUCUCAACCUUCUUCAUGCUUCACUCCUUUAGUACAAUUCUUCAUGUUGGGGUGAACCCCCCAUCAUAACAUUAUUUUCACUGCUACUUCCUAACUAUACUUUGG
rnacentral:lncRNA from 1 species